rnacentral:rRNA from 1 species
GACGUAGGGCGCGAGCGUUGUCCGGAUUUAUUGGGCGUAAAGAGCUCGUAGGCGGCUUGUUGCGUCGGCUGUGAAAACCCGCGGCUUAACCGCGGGCCUGCAGCCGAUACGGGCAGGCUAGAGUUCGGUAGGGGAGACUGGAAUUCCUGGUGUAGCGGUGAAAUGCGCAGAUAUCAGGAGGAACACCGAUGGCGAAGGCAGGUCUCUGGGCCACUACUGACGCUGAGAAGCGAAAGCAUGGGGAGCGAACAGG